UGGGGAAUAUUGCACAAUGGGCGAAAGCCUGAUGCAGCAACGCCGCGUGAGUGAUGAAGGCCUUCGGGUUGUAAAGCUCUGUCUUUUGGGACGAUAAUGACGGUACCAAAGGAGGAAGCCACGGCUAACUACGUGCCAGCAGCCGCGGUAAUACGUAGGUGGCAAGCGUUGUCCGGAUUUACUGGGCGUAAAGGAUGCGUAGGCGGAUUUUUAAGUGAGAUGUGAAAACCCUAAGCUUAACUUGGGGACUGCAUUUCAUACUGGAAAUCUAGAGUGCGGGAGAGGAGAAUGGAAUUCCUAGUGUAGCGGUGAAAUGCGUAGAGAUUAGGAAGAACACCAGUGGCGAAGGCGAUUCUCUGGACCGUAACUGACGCUGAGGCAUGAAAGCGUGGGUAGCAAACAGGAUUAGAUACCCUGGUAGUCCACGCCGUAAACGAUGAGUACUAAGUGUAGGAGGUAUCGACCCCUUCUGUGCCGCAGUUAACACAAUAAGUACUCCGCCUGGGAAGUACGAUCGCAAGAUUAAAACUCAAAGGAAUUGACGGGGUC
rnacentral:rRNA from 1 species